rnacentral:rRNA from 1 species
CGCGUAGGCGGUUUUGUAAGUCAGACGUGAAAUCCCCAGGCUUAACUUGGGAACUGCGUCUGAUACUGCAAAACUUGAGUGCGGGAGAGGGAUGUGGAAUUCCAGGUGUAGCGGUGAAAUGCGUAGAUAUCUGGAGGAACACCGGUGGCGAAGGCGGCAUCCUGGACCGACACUGACGCUGAGGCGCGAAAGCUAGGGGAGCAAACG